AUACGGAGGGUCCAAGCGUUAUCCGGAUUCAUUGGGUUUAAAGGGUCCGCAGGCGGGGAAAUAAGUCAGUGGUGAAAGCCUACAGCUCAACUGUGGAACUGCCAUUGAUACUGUUUUUCUUGAGUAUAGAUGAAGUGGGCGGAAUAUAUCAUGUAGCGGUGAAAUGCAUAGAUAUGAUAUAGAACACCGAUUGCGAAGGCAGCUCACUAAACUAUUACUGACGCUCAGGGACGAAAGCGUGGGGAGCGAACAGGAUUAGAAACCCCAGUAGUCC
rnacentral:rRNA from 1 species